UACGAAGGGGGCUAGCGUUGUUCGGAAUCACUGGGCGUAAAGCGCACGUAGGCGGACUGCUAAGUCAGAGGUGAAAUCCUGGGGCUCAACCCCAGAACUGCCUUUGAUACUGGCGAUCUUGAGUGUGGAAGAGGUUGGUGGAACUCCGAGUGUAGAGGUGAAAUUCGUAGAUAUUCGGAAGAACACCAGUGGCGAAGGCGGCCAACUGGUCCACUACUGACGCUGAGGUGCGAAAGCGUGGGGAGCAAACAGG
rnacentral:rRNA from 1 species